CUGUUUGGAGUCGUUUCUUGGAAGCGACUACCCAAUGCGCGUGAAUCCAAAGAAACAAACAAGAGUGGAACAAAGAAUUGCAUUCAGACAAUGACUUGUUUGAGUGGUCUCUUGCGGGUUGUCUUGUACAGGGUGAGCGGAAUUAUCAGCACCCACAAAGCUACCUGCAAGUAGUACAGGAAUUAUUGCCGCAUUUCCACCGAGGAAAGACACAGGAAGGAACGACGACCUGUGUGUGUGUGGGAUUUAUAGGGUGUGCCCACGGCUAGGUUGGUUUUCGCAAUGCAACAUGAGAGAAUGGCUACCGCCGCCGCAUGCUGGAGCAAGCUUGCGCGUUCUUGGAGCAUCAUCGUCUUGUUGGUGGCGGUGGCAUUGGCCAUGGCGCCGAUCGCCCAUCAAAGCGAUGACCAUUCGACAAACAUGACAGAUCAAAAGGCCUGGUGGCAUUGUAUAUGUUGAGUGGAAUUAUUAGUGCGCACGAAACUACCUAGUGGGGGGCGGAAUUAUUGCAUUUCCACCAAGCGAAGACACAAGGAGGAAUUUCUAGGGUGUGGAAUUUAUAGGGGACGCCCACGGCUGGGUUAGUUUUCAGAACUUGACUACUUGAGAUAAUACAAUGGCUACCGGGGCCGCGCGCUGGAGCAAGCUUACGCGUUCGUCGAGCAUCAUCGUAUUGUUGGUGGCCGUGGCAUUGGCAAUGGCGCCAAUUGCCCAUCAAAGUGAUGACCUUACGAGAAACACGACAGAUCAAAGGCCUGAUUAUCAGUAUCCUAUCCCGCCUAGUGGCAGGCCUGGUGGCGGUGGUUCUCGUUCCCCUCAUGGUCCUGGUGGCGGUGGUUCUCAUUCCCCUAAUGGUCCUCCUUGCACAUCAUGUCCAUAUCCUGGUGCUUGUCCAUGGUGUCAUGUUAGAUGAAUGCUUCAGUGGCUGAAUCUGGAGCCAGCCAAAGUCAAUGUAGAAUCAAACACAUGUUCCUAAAUAUCGAGGAUUAGCCGACUCAGUCUCUCAGAAAUGCUUAUAGAGACAAGGUUGCAUGUGUGUAUUCAUGGUCUAUCCCAUAUGUGAGUUGGGCUAGCCCUCCGUCCACGACUCGAGCACGUCCCUACAAAAUUAACGGACAAGUAUAUGUAUCUAAUGCUUAUUCUGACGUUGUCUUUUGCAAGUCACGGGCAUAAUAGUCUAGUCUAAAAAAAUGAGCAAUUUUCUUACCCAAAACCUUUUUUUUCAGCCUGUAUGGUUGCAAUGACAUACCUUGGUCAGUGUGUUUUUUUUUGGGUGAGAAAGGAUGUAUAUCAUAUAUUAAAGAGAAGUGCAGUACAUCUUUUACUUAUAGAAAGGAUCCUGAGUAACUGAAAAAUUA